rnacentral:rRNA from 1 species
GAUGAACGCUGGCGGCGUGCCUAAUACAUGCAAGUCGAGCGAACAGACGAGGAGCUUGCUCCUCUGACGUUAGCGGCGGACGGGUGAGUAACACGUGGAUAACCUACCUAUAAGACUGGGAUAACUUCGGGAAACCGGAGCUAAUACCGGAUAAUAUAUUGAACCGCAUGGUUCAAUAGUGAAAGACGGUUUUGCUGUCACUUAUAGAUGGAUCCGCGCCGCAUUAGCUAGUUGGUAAGGUAACGGCUUACCAAGGCAACGGUGCGUAGCCGACCUGAGAGGGUGAUCGGCCACACUGGAACUGAGACACGGUCCAGACUCUUACGGGAGGCAGCAGUAGGGAAUCUUCCGCAAUGGGCGAAAGCCUGACGGAGCAACGCCGCGUGAGUGAUGAAGGUCUUCGGAUCGUAAAACUCUGUUAUUAGGGAAGAACAAAUGUGUAAGUAACUAUGCACGUCUUGACGGUACCUAAUCAGAAAGCCACGGCUAACUACGUG